GCAGCACCAAGGAAAGAUAAUCCCCCAAUAGAUAAAAACACCUGAAACUGGUGAUCCGCAGCUUCCCAAUAAGAUCUCAGGAGUCGGGUAUAUGGGCUCAAGCAUGCACAUUAAUGGGCAAAAGGACAGAGUUCAACUGGUAUAUAACCUCCCUCUAAAAGCAUUUGAAUGGUAAGGGAAAAACGCCACAAGUGAGCAUGUGCACAAUUUCAGUAAACACACUGGGCCUGCAGCCCCUCCCAAGUGCUAGCAGAACACUGCACAUGCGGACAGCCCACCCCAAGGGAAGAAUCAGGGAAAGAAGGGAUGCAACACCCACUCACCCCCAACCAAAGCAUGCCAAGGUAUAAAACCCCAAGUCAAAGGUCAAACUGCGCACUUGAAUCUCUCAAGUCGCCCGCAUGGCCCUCUUCCAAUUGUACUUUACUUUCGUUCCUGCUCUAAAACUUUUUACUAAACUUUUUCUCCUGCUCUAAAACUGUCAGGCCUCUGAGCCCAAGCUAAGCCAUCACAACCCCUGUGACUUGCAUGUAUACAUCCAGAUGGUCUGGAGCAACUGGAGAACCACAAAAGAAGUGAAACAGUCAGUUCCUGCCUUAACUGAUGACAUUCCACCAUUGUGAUUUGUUCCUGCCCCACCCUAACUAAUCAAUCGACCUCGUGACAUUCCUCCCCUGGACAAUGUGUCUCAUGAUCUCCCCACCCUGCCCCUUGAGACCCCCGCCCCUGCCCAUAAGAGAUAACCACCUUUAACUGUAAUUUUCCACUACCUACCCAAAUCCUAUAGAACUGCCCCACCCCUAUCUCCCUUUGCUGACUCCUUUUUCGGACUCAGCCCACCUGCACCCAAGUGAAUAAAGAGCCUCGUUGCUCACACAAAGCCUGUUUGGUGGUCUCCUCACACAGACGCAUGUAACAUUUGGUGCUGAAACCCAAGACAGGGGACUCCUUCAGAAGACCAGCCCCCUGUCCUCACCCUCAGUCCGGGAGGAGAUCCACCUACGACCUCGGGUCCUCAGACCAGCCCAAGGAACAUCUCACCAAUUUCAAAUUGGGACCCCACUGGAAGUCGGACCAUCCAACUUGGAUUACAGCUGCUCCUAGACCUACUGGAGCAAAAAGCUAAGGCUCCUGGCUGAUUCCUUCCCAGAUCUCCUCGGCUUAGUGGCUAAAGACUGACGCUGCCAAAUCAUCUCGGAAGCCCCCUGGACCAUCACGGAUGCCGAGCUUCGGAUAACUCCUACAGUGGAGGAAGACAGGAAUGUCAGGCCUGUGAGCCCAAAGUAAGCCAUCAUAACCCCUGUGACCUGCAUGUAUACGUCCAGAUGGCCUGGAGCAACUGAAGAACCACAAAAGAAGUGAAACAGCCAGUUCCUGCCUUAACUGAUGACAUUCCACCAUUGUGAUUUGUUCCUGCCCCACCCUAACUAAUCAAUCGACCUUGUGACAUUCCUCCCCUGGACAAUGAGUCUCAUGAUCUCCCCACCCUGCACCUUGUGUCCCCCAUCCCUGCCUGUAAGAGAUAACCACCUUUAACUGUAAUUUUCCACUACCUACCCAAAUCCUAUAAAACUGCCCCACCCCUAUUUCCCUUUGCUGACUCCUUUUUCGGACUCAGCCCACCUGCACCCAAGUGAAUAAACAGCCUCAUUGCUCACACA
rnacentral:lncRNA from 10 species